UUAAUUCAAAUUUGUAUGGAGUUGGAACGUUUGUUUGCGUACGUUUACCGCUAGGGGCGCUGUUCCAACUCCAUACAAAUAUGAAGUA
rnacentral:pre_miRNA from 1 species